rnacentral:rRNA from 1 species
AUGAACGCUGGCGGCGUGCCUAAUACAUGCAAGUCGAGCGAACAGACGAGGAGCUUGCUCCUCUGACGUUAGCGGCGGACGGGUGAGUAACACGUGGAUAACUUACCUAUAAGACUGGGAUAACUUCGGGAAACCGGAGCUAAUACCGGAUAACAUGUUGAACCGCAUGGUUCAACAGUGAAAGACGGUCUUGCUGUCACUUAUAGAUGGAUCCGCGCCGCAUUAGCUAGUUGGUAAGGUAACGGCUUACCAAGGCAACGAUGCGUAGCCGACCUGAGAGGGUGAUCGGCCACACUGGAACUGAGACACGGUCCAGACUCCUACGGGAGGCAGCAGUAGGGAAUCUUCCGCAAUGGGCGAAAGCCUGACGGAGCAACGCCGCGUGAGUGAAGAAGGUCUUCGGAUCGUAAAACUCUGUUAUUAGGGAAGAACAAAUGUGUAAGUAACUAUGCACGUCUUGACGGUACCUAAUCAGAAAGCCACGGCUAACUACGUG